rnacentral:rRNA from 1 species
CCGCACAAGCGGUGGAGCAUGUGGUUUAAUUCGAUGCAACGCGAAGAACCUUACCUGCCCUUGACAUCCGGGGAACCCUACUGAGAAGUGGGGGUGCCGCAAGGAGCCCCGAGACAGGUGCUGCAUGGCUGUCGUCAGCUCGUGUCGUGAGAUGUUGGGUUAAGUCCCGCAACGAGCGCAACCCUUGUCCCUAGUUGCCAGCACUUCGGGUGGGAACUCUAGGGAGACUGCCGGUGAUAAACCGGAGGAAGGUGGGGAUGACGUCAAGUCAUCAUGGCCUUUAUGGGCAGGGCUACACACGUACUACAAUGGCCGGUACAACGGGUUGCCAAGCCGCGAGGUGGAGCUAAUCCCCCAAAGCCGGUCGUAGUCCGGAUUGGAGUCUGCAACUCCGACUCCAUGAAGUCGGAAUCGCUAGUAAUCGUGGAUCAGCACUGCCACGGUGAAUACGU